GAUGAACGCUAGCUACAGGCUUAACACAUGCAAGUCGAGGGACCGGCGCACGGGUGAGUAACACGUAUCCAACCUGCCCUUUACUCGGGGAUAGCCUUUCGAAAGAAAGAUUAAUACCCGAUAUAAAGGAUGGGGAUGCGUUACAUUAGGUUGUUGGUGAGGUAACGGCCCACCAAGCCUUCGAUGGCUAGGGGUUCUGAUAGGAAGGUCCCCCACAUUGGAACUGAGUCACAGUCCAAACUCCUACGGGAGUCAGCGGUGAGGAAGAUUGGUCAAUGGGCGUUAGCCUGACCCAGUCAAGUAUCGUGAAGGAUGAAGGCUUAUGGGUCGUAAACUUCUUUUAUAUAAGAAUAUGUAUUAUAUGAAUAAGGACCGGCUAACUCCGUGCCAGCAGCCGCGGUAAUUC
rnacentral:rRNA from 1 species